GGUUUGGAUUGUUGUACUUUUUUUUUUGUUCGUUGCAUUUUUAGGAACAAAAAAAAAAGCCCAACCCUUCACACCACUUCAUCCGCAUCUCAAGACCAGAAGCCGACCCCAGCGGCUUGGGGAAAUGGAGCCCCGCACCCCACAAGGGGGAGGGUGGGACGGGCACCUCCGCACUGCGCGGCCUGCGGAGUCACCGAUUCGCGUUGGGAGCGCGCCAGGAGCGCCAGGGCUCUAGCCGGGGGCUCCGGGCAAGGCGCAACCAGAAAAGGGUUCAGUAUCCCCCAUCACCCCCACCCCCAACCGUACCCUCUUUCUUUGCGGGCUUUAGGCAGGACACCAGAGACCCAAUUCUAUUUAAAAUUCUCUUUUAAGAAAAGGAACGCCUGUUUUUGCCUUUGGGGGAAAGGAUGAACUUUCAAAUUGGCUUUAAAUUAUCCACCACUAACAGUUACUCAGUCGAUAACCUGACUAUUCUGACGUCCACCUCCCGUUUGAGGACCUUGCCCAAUAGCAAACGUACUAAGCACUUAACCAGUGAACGGUGUGAAGGAUGCAAACAUGGAUGAUGAAGGAAUGGCUCCUCCAGAAUUUACGAUCUUGGGAGAAGUGAGGCGAGUAUAGAAUCUCAGAACACGCUGUAGGAUUGAGUUCGAUCCCAGUUGAGGAAGUUUGGGUUUGGGGAGGAAAUAGGUUAUUUUGGAGAAACGGUAUUCAAAACCUACCAUAAAUAGCAGUACAGCCCGUUGACUAAUAAUGCUUAGCCCAACCCCCGUAAAAAGCCCCUGGCCACAUCCGUCUCCUGAGAUUCCCACUUCUCUGUGUGCAUCUCCCUUCCUGCUAUAAGAAACCUAACUUUGCCUUCGUAGAACACUUCUUUUAAUUUCUGUCAUUCAGUCUCAUAACACUGUGUAAAAGAAAUUAUGAUCUUCAUCCUAUAUAGAUGAGAAAACAGGUGAAGUGACUUUUCCAAGGUACAAAAGCAAGAGGCAGAGCUGAGGCUAAAGGCAGCUUCCAGAUAUGGGCUCUUUCUACAGCACCAUAACUGUCAGUGACAAAACUGCACCCCAGUACCUUACUAAAUUUAGUGUUUUUAGGCCAGGCACGGUGGCUCACGCCUGUAAUCCCAGCACUUUGGGAGGUCGAGGCGGGCAGAUCACCUGAGGUCAGGAGUUCCAGACCGGACUGACCAACAUGGUGAAACCUGGUCUCUACUAAAAAUACAAAAAUUAGCCGGUC
rnacentral:lncRNA from 10 species